CAUGUGUAGGAUAGGUGGGAGGCUAUGAAGACGUGACGCCAGUUGCGUUGGAGCCGUCCUUGAAAUACCACCCUUGUAUGUUUGAUGUUCUAACUUAGCCCCAUUAUCUGGGGUGAGGACAGUGCCUGGUGGGUAGUUUGACUGGGGCGGUCUCCUCCCAAAGAGUAACGGAGGAGCACGAAGGUGGGCUAAUCACGGUUGGACAUCGUGA
rnacentral:rRNA from 1 species